rnacentral:lncRNA from 1 species
GGCGAAGGCCCGGCCCAUAGCGUGCGGCAGCGGCCGCAUCGAGCUGCCGCGGCGGGGACGGGGAGUCGGCGUCGAGCGGCGGCGGCCGCAACGGGCGUCCGAGGCGGGGACGGGAACAUGCGGCGGCGGCGGCCUGCGUUUCACACAUCGAUCAUCCCUUCUGGAUCUUCGGCUGCUUUUCCCGUUAUUAAUCAAGCUAAUGGUUGUACUGUUGGAGUGUUGGUCGAUCGGAAAGGGGAGCCGCUUCACCGGGCGAGGCGGCGAUAGCUCCGCAGCGGCGGUGGCUGCGACGGCGUUUGCUUCGAAUCGGCGACCCUCGCUUGCUCCGCCGGUAGCUCCCCGCGUCUCCUACAGACGUAGCCUGAGGAGGGGAUUCCAGGCUGGGGGCUGAGGAAGCACCAGGGCUGGCGGUGGAGACGACGGACAUGGAGCGAUGGCCGGUGGGCAGCUGCUUGACUGACGACAACCGAAGGGGUAGGCUAGGUAUGCCUUCUACCAUCCUUCCAUUGCACUAGUUACUCAUCUCUUUGUGUAGCACAUCCAUCUUCAUCCUGUUUGUUUUCCUUGUUAUUAUUGCCACAUGGUUUCCCAUUUCAAUACUGUUUUGUGAUGAUAACUUGAAUUUCGUGAUAGAAUGGAAAUCGCAUAACAGAACAACAAAUAUUUAAUUCCACAAACUUUGCAGAAAAACUAGAGAAAACCAGAAGACACAACAUCGUUUUAUGAUUGUUUGGAACUUAUUACAACUUAGGUGUAUACUGCCAAUUCAGGACACCUUCUUAUUCCAAGGUUGAGCUAGUAAAUUAGAAAAAACAAAUGACAAAGGAAGUCAACAUAUGCAUGCCAACUGCCCAAAAGCGAUCCCAUUAUUAUCCAAAUCAUCAAACCUUCUCCAAGCAUAUGCAACAGUAACUUAUCAAUCAUUUCAUCUCACCUUCCCGAAGGAUAUCUUAAUUCUGUGGUCCCACUUGAGUUGCCCUCAAUGCUUUCUAUUGAAACUCCAGAAAUCAGCAGCUGGAAUUGCCUCGCUAUGUCAGCGUCCAUGGCUUCCUUCUGUUUAUAGGACCUAGACACCAGUUGCAUUUCACCUGUACCUGCCGGUAGGCAUUCUUUGAGCUUGAUAACAAUGUCAGUCAUGCUUGGCCUAUCAGUGGAUGUGUUUUCCACACAGCUCAUGGCAAGAUCUAUGACACUCUGUAUGGAAGUGGCAUCAUACUGAUGCCUUAGUCUACUGUCUACAGCAUCAUGAAUGCUCCCUUCAGCAAUCUUUUGGCGCACCCAGUUUGGUAGGUGCACUGGUUCUGAGUCCACUAACACUGAAGGUUGGCCAGUAAUGAUCUCCAAGAGGACAAUGCCGAAGCUGUAGACAUCUGCUUUCACAGUGAGGUGGAAAGUAGCAUGGUACCUGAGAAUGAGAUGUAAGAACAGCACAAAAUACGCUUCUCUUUAAUCUGCAUUUCUCGCUUGACUCGAACUAGAGAAGAAGUGUAUUGAACUAAUAUCGGUCAGUGAAGGAUAACUCACUCAGGGUCAAGGUAGCCAACAGUACCGGCAGCAACAGUUGAUAUGUGUGUGUGCGCUGGAGUGUAAGAUCGUGAAAGACCAAAGUCAGAUAUCAUGGCCACAAGAUUCUUAUCCAGGAGAAUGUUUGCAGUUUUCACAUCUCUGUGAACUAUUGGCGGGGUGCAUGAUUCAUGCAGAUACUCCAGUCCUGCAGCUCAUCAAGGUUCAUAUGUUUGUCAACAUCUACUCUGUUUAGUUUUUAAAAGAGGUACAAGAUUGAAGUGGACCUUGUGCUGCAUCAAGUGCAAUGUGAAGUCGCUCUUCCCAGCUCAAACUGUAUUCUUGUCCUGUUUCAAAGUGCAACAAAUUGACACUCAUUAGUAAUAUUGGGCAUGUUACAUGUAUGGGCAAUAUACAUGGUUGUUAAGGCAUCACUAUGGUGUCGCUGUUGCGUCGCCAUAGGUUGCAGAGAUCAAGGCGUUUACUCCUUGCGUAUAAGUACUAUCUUUAGAAUUUUGAGUCAUGUAGGGUGAGCAACAUUAAAUUUAUUGUAAUUAAUGCAAACCUCCUCUUAAAACUUCUUGUAGGUUUCCUCUAGCCAUGAAAUCGUACACAAGGGCAAGGCAUUUCUUGUUGUGGCAAUAUCCUAAAAACGUGACGAGAUUCUUGUGUUGAACUUUUGACAAUAUUUGCACCUGAAAUAGCAGCAGAUGUCAUACAAACAGGCUUUCAUUGGAAGCAAUAAAAAUAGUGGACAUCCAAAAGAUGUGUGGAACUAUGACUUCUAGAUAUCACAGGCAUCUAGCAUCUUGAUUUUUAUUCAAGACUGCACAUAACAUCUUUACAUUCUAGAGGGAAAUGAUCCGACUUAAGUAGUUUGAUAGUUCACCUCAGGGAGGAAGUCCUUUGAUAGUGUUAUAGAUGUCUCCCGAAGCACCUUGACUGCCACUUCCUCUCCAUUGUCCAAUAUGCCAUGAUAAACCAUACCAAAUCCUCCUUUUCCAAUGAUAGACUGGAAGUUGUUAGUUAUAGUCUUCAACUCUGUAUAUGUGAAUCUUCUGGUGUCAGUAUGCAGGGGAGUAUCCUCUUCAUACAUAUCAUAAUCAUCAUGUUCUUUUGAUUUUCCUGCUAAGUCACAAUUCACAAAUGGCUCAAUCCACUUUGCUCUACUGUAUAGUGUAUACACGAAAAUAUCUGAAUUUAACCCACUGUUUUGUUCACCUUUACAGCAGAGCAUCCAUAGAAUUAACAUAAGUAUGAUAGCUACAACAGGAACUAUCACUGCAAUGAGCAAUGUUGCUGUAUUCUUCCUCGCCUUAUCUGCUGGUGUGGUACAGUCGCUUUCAAUUAUAUUUGAGCACAUGGGAUUGAAAAAAAAAACAUGAAGAGCAUAAAGGAAUAAGGAGAUGAUAUAUUUGUUUACACUGCAAUCUUAUAUGUUUACUAUAAAUAAGAUGGAGACAGUAAAUUACAAAGCUGCGAAGUAAUUUUUGAUAUGUUAAUGCUGCCUUUAACUUAAUACGAAUUCAUUCUUCUAGUUUGCAUAAAGCUCAUGAGUUAUAUUGUGGACUAAUGCUGAGAUGCUGCUACACAGAUCCUAUGAACCUGCUGCAUACAUGAUGAAUGUGUAGUGUGCUCUUGCAAUAUAUUGCUGAUCAUACCAUCAUCAGAAGCAGUAGCUAUCCGGACAAGUG